rnacentral:rRNA from 1 species
AACGAACGCUGGCGGCAUGCCUAACACAUGCAAGUCGAACGAAGCCUUCGGGCUUAGUGGCGCACGGGUGCGUAACGCGUGGGAAUCUGCCCUUGGGUUCGGAAUAACAGUUAGAAAUGACUGCUAAUACCGAAUGAUGUCUUCGGACCAAAGAUUUAUCGCCCAAGGAUGAGCCCGCGUCGGAUUAGCUAGUUGGUGAGGUAAAGGCUCACCAAGGCGACGAUCCGUAGCUGGUCUGAGAGGAUGAUCAGCCACACUGGGACUGAGACACGGCCCAGACUCCUACGGGAGGCAGCAGUGGGGAAUAUUGGACAAUGGGCGAAAGCCUGAUCCAGCCAUGCCGCGUGAAUGAUGAAGGCCUUAGGGUUGUAAAAUUCUUUUGCAGGGGGAAGAUAAUGACGGUACCCUGCGAAUAAGCUCCGGCUAACUUCGUGCCAGCAGCCGCGGUAAU